rnacentral:rRNA from 3 species
AACUUUCAACAACGGAUCUCUUGGUUCUGGCAUCGAUGAAGAACGCAGCGAAAUGCGAUAAGUAAUGUGAAUUGCAGAAUUCAGUGAAUCAUCGAAUCUUUGAACGCACAUUGCGCCCCUCGGUAUUCCGGGGGGCAUGCCUGUUCGAGCGUCAUUAC